UACGAAGGGAGCUAGCGUUACUCGGAAUCACUGGGCGUAAAGCGCAUGUAGGCGGAAUUAUAAGUCAGGGGUGAAAUCCCAAGGCUCAACCUUGGAAUUGCCUUUGAAACUGUAAUACUUGAGUAUGGUAGAGGAUAGUGGAAUCUCCAGUGUAGAGGUGAAAUUCGUAGAUAUUGGAAAGAACACCAGUGGCGAAGGCGGCUAUCUGGACCAUUACUGACGCUGAGAUGCGAAAGCGUGGGGAGCAAACGGG
rnacentral:rRNA from 1 species